CGGAUUUCAUCCAUUAAUAUAAUACCUUACAACCUUUUUCAAAUUAGGCAACGUCAUGCUAUUAUUUAAUAUGAUUUGAUUUGUUUAAAUUGCAUUUUGUUUUAAAUAAUAAAUAAUAAUAAUAAUAAAAUGACAUUUGCGCCCCAUUAGCAAAGAAUAGAAAUUAUUUGUGCUUCGUCUAUUUUUCGUUCGGACCAUGCACUUAGCUUGUUUUGUCUUUUGAAAGUUGCUCAAACCCAUAAUUUUCAGAUUUUGGGCCAAAAUGUCCAUAAUGUGUUCAAAUAAAGCGAGUUCUGGUGGAAAAUACUGCAAAUAAUUUGCAGCCCAAGUAAAAAGACGAUACGACAUUUUUAAAGAAAGGAGUGAAGUCCUUGUCAUGAAUUCUGAUUUUCUCAUCUCUAUAAAUCAUUGCAAAUGAUGAGGAUGAUGAUGAUGAUGAUAAUGAUGAUGAGCUGGAUGAGACGGAAGAACAAACCUACACCGAUAUCAAGAAAGACAGGUGUAGAGUGAAAAUCGUCAGAUUUUCUAUCCAAGGCAGCAGGAAAAUAGAAGAAAUGUUAGUUAAUUAGUUUACAGAAUCUAUACUACACAUGCAAGCAUCCUUUCAAUGUAUUACAAAACUAAAAUGCGGCCAGAUUUUUAAUUUUUAACUCAAAAAACUGAAAAUAUAUGUUAUGUAAACCUAAAACUCCCAAUGAAAAUGCAUUCAGGUCGAAUAUCGAAUAAAAUAUCU